AGCAGCCGCGGUAAUUCCAGCUCCAAUAGCGUAUAUUAAAGUUGUUGCAGUUAAAAAGCUCGUAGUUGAAUUUCGGGAUCAAUUAAUCGGUCGUGCCUCUGGUACGCACUGGUUUUAUUGGUUUCUCCCUUCUGACGAACCAGGAUGUCAUUAAUUUGGUGUCUUGGAGAAUCAGGACUGUUACUUUGAAAAAAUUAGAGUGUUUAAAGCAGGCUUCUAGGCAUGAAUACAUUAGCAUGGAAUAAUGAAAUAGGACGUUUGAUCCUAUUUUGUUGGUUUCUAGGAUCGACGUAAUGAUUAAUAGGGAUAGUUGGGGGCAUUAGUAUUCAAUUGUCAGAGGUGAAAUUCUUGGAUUUAUUGAAGACUAACUAUUGCGAAAGCAUUUGCCAAGGAUGUUUUCAUUAAUCAAGAACGAAAGUUAGGGGAUCGAAGACGAUCAGAUACCGUCGUAGUCUUAACCAUAAACUAUGCCGACUAGGGAUCGGAUGAUGUUAAAUUUUUUUAAUUGUACUCAUUC
rnacentral:rRNA from 1 species